rnacentral:rRNA from 1 species
GCCCGGGAACUACGAGCAUUAGCUUAGAACCCAAAGGACUUGGCGGUGCUUAAUAACCCCCUAGAGGAGCCUGUUCUAGAACCGAUAACCCUCGUUCAACCUCACCCCUCCUGGCCAAUCCCGCCUAUAUACCGCCGUCGUCAGCUUACCCUGUGAAGGUCUCAUAGUAAGCAUAAUUAGUAAAACCCAAAACGUCAGGUCGAGGUGUAGCAUAUGGAGGGGGAAGAAAUGGGCUACAUUUCCUGCUCACAGGAUAUUACGAAAAGUGUACUGAAAUUUAUGCUAGAAGGAGGAUUUAGUAGUAAGCAGGUGGAACAGAGAGCCCCCCUGAAGCCGGCCCUUAAGCGCGCACACACCGCCCGUCACUCUCCCA